rnacentral:tRNA from 1 species
CCAUCGGUGGUUCAGUGGUAGAAUGCUCGCCUAUCACGCGGGUUCGAUUCCUGGCCGAUGCA